GAUGAACGCUGGCGGCGUGCUUAACACAUGCAAGUCGAACGGAAAGGUCCUGCUUUUGUGGGUUGCUCGGGUGGCGAGGGGGGGAGUAAGUCGGGAGUAAGCUGCCCUGUCCGUGGGGAUAGCUUGAGGAAACUGGGGAUACUACCGGAUAUGAGCCCGUCCCGCGUGGAGGGGGUUGGAAAGAGUCGGCGGUGGGGAAUGGUCCGGCGGCUUAUCAGGUUGUUGGUGGGGUAGUGGCUGACCACGGCGUUGACGGGUAGCCGGCAUGAGAGGGUGACCGGCCACCACGGGACGGCGGUGCGGCCCAGACUACUCCGGGAGGCAGCAGUAGGGAAUAUUGCACGAUGGUCGGAAGAAUGAUGCAGCAACGCCGCUGGCGGGACGACGGCCGUUGGGUUGUUAACCGCUUUCGCCUGUGACGAAGCGUGAGUGACGGUAAUGGGUAAAGAAGCACCGGCUAACUACGUG
rnacentral:rRNA from 1 species